rnacentral:rRNA from 1 species
UACGUAGGGUGCGAGCGUUGUCCGGAAUCACUGGGCGUAAAGCGCACGUAGGCGGCUUCUUAAGUCGGUGGUGAAAUCCUGGAGCUCAACUCCAGAACUGCCUUCGAUACUGGGAGCUCGAGUCCGGGAGAGGUGAGUGGAACUGCGAGUGUAGAGGUGAAAUUCGUAGAUAUUCGCAAGAACACCAGUGGCGAAGGCGGCUCACUGGCCCGGUACUGACGCUGAGGUGCGGAAAGCGUGGG